rnacentral:misc_RNA from 1 species
GAUGAAGAACGCAGCAAAAUGCGAUAAGUAAUGUGAAUUGCAGAAUUCAGUGAAUCAUCGAAUCUUUGAACGCACAUUGCGCCCGCCAGUAUUCUGGCGGGCAUGCCUGUUCGAGCGUCAUUUCAACCCUCAAGCACAGCUUGGUGUUGGGACUCGCGUUAAUUCGCGUUCCCCAAAUUGAUUGGCGGUCACGUCGAGCUUCCAUAGCGUAGUAGUAAAACCCUCGUUACUGGUAAUCGUCGCGGCCACGCCGUUAAACCCCAACGUCUGAAUGUUGACCUCGGAUCAGGUAGGAAUACCCGCUGAACUUAAGCAUAUCAAUAAGCGGAGGA